GACGAACGCUGGCGGCGUGCUUAACGCAUGCAAGUCGAACGGAAAAGCCCUGCUUUUGUGGGGUGCUCGAGUGGCGAACGGGUGAGUAACACGUGAGUAACCUGCCCUUGACUUUGGGAUAACUUCAGGAAACUGGGGCUAAUACCGGAUAGGAGCUCCUGCUGCAUGGUGGGGGUUGGAAAGUUUCGGCGGUUGGGGAUGGACUCGCGGCUUAUCAGCUUGUUGGUGGGGUAGUGGCUUACCAAGGCUUUGACGGGUAGCCGGCCUGAGAGGGUGACCGGCCACAUUGGGACUGAGAUACGGCCCAGACUCCUACGGGAGGCAGCAGUGGGGAAUAUUGCACAAUGGGCGGAAGCCUGAUGCAGCAACGCCGCGUGCGGGAUGACGGCCUUCGGGUUGUAAACCGCUUUCGCCUGUGACGAAGCGUGAGUGACGGUAAUGGGUAAAGAAGCACCGGCUAACUACGUG
rnacentral:rRNA from 1 species